rnacentral:rRNA from 1 species
GUAAUACGUAGGUGGCAAGCGUUGUCCGGAAUUACUGGGUGUAAAGGGCGAGUAGGUGGAUCACUAAGUCAGAGGUGAAAACCCAUGGCUAAACUGUGGGAUAGCAACUGAAACUAGAGAUCCUGAGUACUGGAGAGGGAAGCGGAAUUCCUAGUGUAGCGGUGAAAUGCGUAGAUAUUAGGAGGAACACCAGUGGCGAAGGCGGCUUCCUGGACAGAGACUGACACUGAGGCGCGAAAGCGUGGGGAGCGAACAGGAUUAGAUACCCUGGUAGUCCACGCUGUAAACGAUGGAUACUAGGUGUAGGUGGUAAGAAACCAUCUGUGCCGGAGUAAACACAAUAAGUAUCCCACCUGGGGAGUACAGCCGCAAGGUUGAAACUCAAAGGAAUUGACGGGGGCCCGCACAAGCAGUGGAGUAUGUGGCUUAAUUCGAAGCAACGCGAAGAACCUUACCAGGGCUUGACAUCCCUUGAACUAUCUAGAGAUAGGUAGGGCCUACGGGACAAGGAGACAGGUGGUGCAUGGUUGUCGUCAGCCCGUGUCGUGAGAUGUUGGGUUAAGUCCCGCAACGAGCGCAACCCUUAUAGCUAGUUGCCAGCAAUAAGAUGGGGACUCUAGCGAGACAGCCGUUGAGAAAACGGAGGAAGGAAAGGAUGACGUCAAAUCAUCAUGCCCCUUAUGCUCUGGGCUACACACGUACUACAAUGGCUACUACAGAGGGAAGCGAAGCCAGGAGGCGGAGCAAAUCUCAAAAAGGUAGUCCCAGUUCAGAUUGUAGGCUGAAACUCGCCUGCA